AAUCUUACCAUAUAAUAGCGAAAGGUGAUCAUCUGCAUGGUUAUAAUGCCGAAGAGGUUAAGUUAAUAGCUCUACUUGUGAGACACCAUAGAAAGAAACUUCCCGACUAUGAUCAUAUGGUGCCUGAGGAAUUAACAAAAGAGAUGACAGGGAAAUUCAGAAUUCUUUGUGCAAUUCUACGUGUAUCUGCUGCAGUGGAGAAACUUCAGCUGUUCAGCAUCCACAAUGUGGAUUUCUCACAUACCUGUGAAGGAUAUAAAUUGGUACUUAAAGCAGGAAAUUUGCCCUUCCCUGGUUUUGUGCUACCAUCAGUGAACGACUUUGAG
rnacentral:misc_RNA from 1 species